CACUGCCAAAAUAACCAACAUAAACUACUGGUUUACAUCAGAAUUAGUUUAAGCACACGUUCGGUUGUGUAGACGUAGUAACUAUAUCGUUACGCUAAUCCGUAAACAAACACAAAUUUCAUAAGCAACACAAUGUUUCAUCAAAGUAGAAUAUCUGAAUCCAUCUCAAUACAAACAUAUCGCGUACCUACCUUACCAAAAUAAACAGAGCAUUGACCCUUUCAGACCCUUUGCGUCCUGCAGCUGUUUGCAUCUCGUGGUAAAGCAGUAAAGUUAUCGAUGUUCAUUUGGGUUUUUGCUCUUGCUGAUCCAGGCAGUUUUUGCUGUUGUUGUUAUAAAAGAUGCCUUUAGUUUUGUGCCUCCUGUGUAGGUUGUCAAUUUAGCAAAAAAGUUUGCUGUUCUCACUGUUUACAGGCAGGAGGUGAGCGCACGUGAACGCGCCGAUGACGUAUGGUGUCUGCGUGGACUCGCUGCGCGGUGGGCAUUCAAAUUAUGCUUACGUAUGAGGGACAAAAAUGGAAACGUCCGUUCGGACCGAAAUCUAUGAUUUGUUGAACAUUUUUUGGUCCUACGCCUUUCACAGAUGACAUAAAUUUCUACAAAUACAUUUAAACAACUUAACACAGUGAUUGCUAUCAGGAUGUAAGGAGACUUUUAACCAGCAUAACAAAAAAUGUUUCAGGAUCAAAUCUGUUACCCUACCUUUAAGCCUCCUCGGAGGCAAAACACCUGGCGAUGCCAUCCGCAGGGUCUUGCGUACAAUUGGAACUAAUGGUCUAUGGUCAAAAUACAGCAUUAGAGGAAGGAAGGGGAAAAGAAAUUUGGAGAGCUGAACAUUUGCAGCGUGAUCAUUCAAGCCUGCCAAAAGAUCCACCCAAAAGUGCCAGCUAAGGUGUUAGAGGACUGCAUUGCAGACACUUUAAAAUAUGCUCCCCAUCGUGAGUCAAGGAUGGAGCAUGAACAGCAGACGGACUAGUUUUCAGCACCCACACAGACAUCCACAUUUAUUUAAGUUCUUACUGAUUGAAGAAGAUAGAUCCAUUGCUGCCCAAGCUAAGCUUUUUUGACACAAGUGUGACAUCCCGAAAAAAAAAAAACCCAUUAAUGACCGGUGGGUGAAGGACCUCCUCCUGAGGUAUGUGCAGCUGUUCGGUCUCCUGCUACCUCGAGGUCAACGUGGACAGGGCAAUUCAUGGGCAGGGCCGCCUCAGGUCGUUCACUUUCCUCGAGAUGCGGCAGCCUGCACAAGCUGGGACCGGCCAAGAGAGAAAAUAGCGCAGGAGACGCGUACACCUCUACAAAGCAGUGGCUGGUGAUGAAGGAGGAGGACAUCACCACCAAGUCCCUGAAGUGCUUCAGGCGCUACAUUCUCGAUAGAGAGAAGCUUCCACCAGAUGCCACUCUUCCUGCUGUGACUUCCAGCUCUUCAAGAAGAGAACCAGGCCCAGUCAGUAGAUGUUCAUUCAGAGAAGUAUUCUGAAAUCUUGCAGAGCAAUCAAAGACAAUGCGAAUCAUGCCUGGCUUCUGCGGGUUGUAAACCCCAUGAUGAGGUAUAUAUACCAUGCUGGCUGAUUGUUUAACUGCAUCUCUGGGACCUUUUCAGCAUUGCCUCUUGCUAUUAUGUCUUUCAUGAAAGCCAGGUAGUCUUUGUGGUAUUGCUCAUCCCUCUUUAAACGCUUGUCUAAGGAUUUGAGUCUAUGCUCUGCACACGCUUUGUUGUUAAAAAAUACAUCCAACCUUAUUGUAAAGUGUCACCAUAGUAAUAAUGUGCCCAUGCUUAUGAAACUUAAAAGGGUUUCGGCCUUCAGCCUUCAUCAAAAAAUUUCCACGUACACACAUGCACUCACACUCCCUCAAUACAAAUGGCAGGAUUACAAUAGUCUCUGAGUUCUGCUUGACUAUUUUAAUAUUGUACCCAUCUUGGGGAUUAUUUUCUCUUCACUAGAGAGACUAGUGCUUGAGUGGUGCAGUACUCACUGUAUCCCCUGCUGCUCUCAACAAGAUUAGAGACCCUGCACUUUGACUCCCAAUCCUGCCCUCUUCAUGGUGUCCAGGCACUCAGCGCUCAUUCUGUACCAACAGCUAACAUUAAAGUCACCUCACUGUUGGAUGUACUGUACUGAUGUGGCAUAAGCAUUCAUUUAAAUGAGCUAGAUACUAUGUUUUGAUUGGAGAUUUCUGUUUGGCUUCAUUGCAAAACGGAGAGCUACAGCUAUUAACCCUGUUGCAACCAAUACAUUCAAAGAAACAUGUAAACUUCUUUUUAU